UUUUUACAGAAUUUAUUAUAAAUAUAACCUGCUAACUGAUYAUUUUUAACAGCUGCAAUUGAUUUUGUACUAAGGUAGCAUAAUCAUUAGUCUCCUAAUUAGAGUCCAGAAUGAAAGGUAUAACAUUUUAAAAYCUUUUUUUUAUAAGACUUUUGAAUUUACAUUAAAGGUUAAAAUUCCUUUAUUUUAUUGAAAGACGACAAGACCCUAUUGAACUUUACUUAAGUUUAACUGGGGAAGUUAAUUAAAUAUCAUUUUARCAUAYAUUACUAUUAAAGAACCAAUAUAAUUGRAUAUUAGAAUAAGUUACCAUAGGGAUAACAGGGUAAUUAAUUUUUGAAGAUCUUAUAUAAAAAUUAGUUUGCGACCUCGAUGUUGAAUUAUUAUCCUUUUAAAUGCAAUAAUUUAAAUAGUAAGUCUGUUCKACUUUUAAAUUUUUACA
rnacentral:rRNA from 1 species